AUUGAACGCUGGCGGCAGGCCUAACACAUGCAAGUCGAACGGUAGCACAGAGAGCUUGCUCUCGGGUGACGAGUGGCGGACGGGUGAGUAACGUCUGGGAAACUGCCCGAUGGAGGGGGAUAACUACUGGAAACGGUAGCUAAUACCGCAUAACGUCGCAAGACCAAAGUGGGGGACCUUCGGGCCUCACACCAUCGGAUGUGCCCAGAUGGGAUUAGCUAGUAGGUGGGGUAAUGGCUCACCUAGGCGACGAUCCCUAGCUGGUCUGAGAGGAUGACCAGCCACACUGGAACUGAGACACGGUCCAGACUCCUACGGGAGGCAGCAGUGGGGAAUAUUGCACAAUGGGCGCAAGCCUGAUGCAGCCAUGCCGCGUGUAUGAAGAAGGCCUUCGGGUUGUAAAGUACUUUCAGCGGGGAGGAAGGCGGUGAAGUUAAUAGCUUCACCGAUUGACGUUACCCGCAGAAGAAGCACCGGCUAACUCCGUGCCAGCAGCCGCCGCCG
rnacentral:rRNA from 1 species